GAUGAACGCUAGCUACUGGCUUAACACAUGCAAGUCGAGGGGCAGCGGGGAUCUAGCUUGCUAGAUUUGCCGGCGACCGGCGCACGGGUGAGUAACACGUAUCCAACCUGGCCCAUACUCGGGUAUAGCCUCUCGAAAGGGAGAUUAAUCCCCGAUGUUGUUGUUUCACCGCAUGGUGUUGCAACCAAAGAAUUUCGGUAUGGGAUGGGGAUGCGUUCCAUUCGCUUGUUGGCGGGGUAACGGCCCACCAAGGCGACGAUGGAUAGGGGUUCUACGAGGAAGGUCCCCCACACUGGAACUGGGACACGGUCCAGACUCCUACGCGAGGCAGCAGUGAGGAAUAGUGGUCAAUGGGCGAGAGCCUGAACCAGCCAAGUGGCGUGAAGUAUGACUGCCCUACGGGUUGUAAACUUCUUUUGUUUGGGAAUAAAGUUCAGCACGUGUGCUGUUUUGUAUGUACCAUUCGAAUAAGCAUCGGCUAAUUCCGUGCCAGCCGCCGCAGUAACAC
rnacentral:rRNA from 1 species